rnacentral:rRNA from 1 species
GAGAAGCUUGCUCUCAAGAAGUUAGCGGCGGACGGGUGAGUAACACGUGGGUAACCUGCCCAUAAGACUGGGAUAACUCCGGGAAACCGGGGCUAAUACCGGAUAAUAUUUUGAACUGCAUGGUUCGAAAUUGAAAGGCGGCUUCGGCUGUCACUUAUGGAUGGACCCGCGUCGCAUUAGCUAGUUGGUGAGGUAACGGCUCACCAAGGCAACGAUGCGUAGCCGACCUGAGAGGGUGAUCGGCCACACUGGGACUGAGACACGGCCCAGACUCCUACGGGAGGCAGCAGUAGGGAAUCUUCCGCAAUGGACGAAAGUCUGACGGAGCAACGCCGCGUGAGUGAUGAAGGCUUUCGGGUCGUAAAACUCUGUUGUUAGGGAAGAACAAGUGCUAGUUGAAUAAGCUGGCACCUUGACGGUACCUAACCAGAAAGCCACGGCUAACUACGUGCCAGCAGCCGCGGUAAUACGUAGGUGGCAAGCGUUAUCCGGAAUUAUUGGGCGUAAAGCGCGCGCAGGUGGUUUCUUAAGUCUGAUGUGAAAGCCCACGGCUCAACCGUGGAGGGUCAUUGGAAACUGGGAGACUUGAGUGCAGAAGAGGAAAGUGGAAUUCCAUGUGUAGCGGUGAAAU